GUUCUAUAUCCAUAAGUGCCAUCUUCUGCCCAAGUAGCAGGUCCAUAAUAAUUAAUAAUACGUUGAGGGGGCCACUCCUCAUCUUCCCAACUACCUAUAUUCAAGGAUGCUCUCUUCCUUUUAUGAUUUGCAUCGUAAACCUUAACUCCCAAGGUCUCUCCUGUCUCAAUUGGCAACAAGAAGAAGGAUGGCUUGAGCAUACCUAAUACACAUGCCCCUUCCCAAUCUUGUGGUAACUCCGAAUAAGCUUUCCUACCACAGAUCCAGUAUAAAUUUGCUGGGGCUUUCCAACUAGAUGUAGCAGAUAAGUCAAACC
rnacentral:lncRNA from 1 species